CGAUUGGGACCUUUUUGAUUCCAAGAAGUGCCGCCGGUUUGCCAUCGAUCCCUUUGCCUUCUCUCUCUCACCAGGUUUAGGCUUUGGUUUCUUGAUGUAUUUCCGGUUCAUCUUUUUGGAGAGGUCAGCAUCAGCUACUCGGAAUUGAUUUCGUUCAAAGAAGGUAGGUUCCUUGUGGACCGUUAUAUCUUUGUUCUUUCCUUUUCCUUGUGGCUGAGGAGUGUUCCUGUUUCCGAGCUCCACUUUCGAGUACUCGGUUUCUGUGAUGCUGGCUUAAUCGGUUCCAACCGACCCGUCUUGAAACACGGACCAAGGAGUCUAACAUAUGUGCGAGUAUGCGGGUUUUACUCCUGUAUGCGCAAUGAAAGUGAGAGUAGGGAGAUUUUGGCUUUGCCAUUCUUCGCACCUACGACCGACCACGAUCUCUGAGAGAGGUUUGAGUUGGAGCAUAUCUGUUAGGACCCGAAAGAUGGUGAACUAUGCCUGAGUAGAAUGAAGUCAGGGGAAACCCUGAUGGAGGUUCGUAGCGAUACUGACGUGCAAAUCGUUCGUCAAACUUGGGUAUAGGGGCGAAAGACUAA
rnacentral:rRNA from 1 species